GCCCCAGAGCUGCGCAGAAGUCAUUCUUCAAACAGUAGAUUAAAACAUCUGUCAGGGGAGCCUGGAGGGGCCCGCCGCAGCCGCUGCAGCUGGACCUGCCAAUCACUGGCUUCCAGGGGGCGGUGGGAGCACAGAGGAGGCCAGGUGGGAGCACAGUGGAGCUGGGAGGGAGCACAGAGGGGGUCAGGUGGGAACACAGAGGGGCCGGUAGGGAGCAGAGAGGGGGCCAGAGGGAGCAGAGAGAGGGAGCAGAGAGGGGCCAGGAGGGAGCAAGAGAGGGGCCAGGUGGAGCACAGGGGAGCGGGGAGGGAGCAGAGAGGGGCCAGGUGGGAGCACAGGGGAGCUGGAGGGAGCAGAGAGGGGGCCAGGUGGGAGCACAGGGGAGCUGGGAGGGAGCAGAGGGGGGCCAGGUGGGAGCACAGAGGGGCCGGUAGGGAGCAGAGAGGGGCCAGGAGGGAGCAAGAGGGGGCCAGGAGGGAGCAGAGAGGGGCCAGGUGGGAGCACAGGGGAGCUGGAGGGAGCACAGAGGGGGGCCAGGUGGGAGCACAGGGGAGCUGGAGGGAGCACAGAGGGGGCCAGUGGGAGCACAGGGGAGCUGGGAGGGAGCACAGAGGGGGCCAGGUGGGAGCACAGGGGAGCUGGGAGGAGCACAGAGGGGGGCCAGGUGGGAACACAGAGGGGCCGGGAGGGAGCAGAGAGGGGCCAGGAGGGAGCAGAGGGGGCCAGGUGGGAGCACAGAGGGGGCCAGGAGGAGCAGAGAGGGGGCCGGUAGGGAGCACAGAGGGGGUCAGGUGGGAACACAGAGGGGGCCGGGAGGAGCAGAGAGGGGCCAGGUGGGAGCACAGGGGAGCUGGGAGGGAGCAGAGAGAGGGAGCAGAGGGGGCCAGGAGGGAGCAGAGAGGGGGCCGGGAGGAGCAGAGAGGGGCCAGGUGGGAGCACAGAGGGGGCCAGGUGGAGCACAGGGGAGCUGGGAGGGAAGCAGAGAGGGGCCAGGUGGGAGCACAGGGGAGCUGGGAGGGAGCAGAGAGGGGCCAGGUGGAGCACAGAGGAGCGGGGAGGGAGCACAGAGGGGGCCAGGUGGGAGCACAGGGGAGCUGGGAGGGAGCACAGAGGGGGCCAGGUGGGAACACAGAGGGGCCGGUAGGGAGCAGAGAGGGGCCAGGAGGGAGCAGAGAGGGGGCCGGGAGGGAGCAGAGAGGGGGCCGGGAGGGAGCACAGAGGAGCGGGGAGGGAGCAGAGAGGGGCCAGGUGAGAGCACAAAGGGCUGGGAGGGAGCACAGAGGGGGCCAGGUGGAGCACAGAGGGGGCCAGGUUGGAGCACAGGGGAGCUGGGAGGGAGCAGAGAGGGGCCAGGAGGGAGCAGAGGGGGCCGGGAGGGAGCACAGAGGGGGCCAGGUGGGAGCAUAG
rnacentral:lncRNA from 1 species